AAGGCGCCGCUCAGGUUCCCCUCCAAGCCCACCGUGUCCCCCGAG
rnacentral:SRP_RNA from 1 species